UGCAAGCUGCAGGAAGAAUUCGAGCAGGGCAGGGGAGGUUUAGGAGCAGAGGCGCAGCAGGAGCCCGGGGCAGCGCUUGCCUGUUUCCUCCCAGGCUGCGGUGGUGAGCGCGGCAGGGCGGGUGUUUAUGCGCGUCCUAGCAACCGCACGCGCUGGUGUACCGGUGCCCGGCGACACUGCAGAGUACUGCUCUUGCUUUUGGGAUUGUCCCAGAGUCUAAGGCAUUCUUAGGGCUCCAGCUAAUGCUCUACAGAGGUUGUCCAUUGCUGGGCUCCUUGUCGUUGAAUGAGAAAAGGAAUCUACAUAGAUUUAAAUUGCGUGUUCUGAGCUUGACUCAGAGUAUUAACAGACCCAUGGGUGUGGCGUUGACCAGAUCCGCACAGUGGACUGCCGAGGGGUACGAGACAGGAACCCUGGAGAUCACCCCUCUGAACGAGUCAAUAUUGAAUGAAAUUACUAAGUUUAUGGAGUCUUUUAUUCAUAAAUAUCCCCAAGAGGCAAAAUUUGUUUUUGUAGAACCACUCGAGUGGGAAACAAAUUUGGAGCCCUCAGCAUUUGAAUCAGGUUAUAU